rnacentral:rRNA from 1 species
ACACUGUAAACGAUGAUAACUAACCGUUGGCGAUACACAGUCAGUGGCUAAGCGAAAGCGAUAAGUUAUCCACCUGGGGAGUACGUUCGCAAGAAUGAAACUCAAAGGAAUUGACGGGGGCCCGCACAAGCGGAGGAACAUGUGGUUUAAUUCGAUGAUACGCGAGGAACCUUACCCGGGCUCGAACGGCGAGUGAAGAGAUCUAGAGAUAGUGACGUCCGCAAGGACACUUGUCGAGGUGCUGCAUGGUUGUCGUCAGCUCGUGCCGUGAGGUGUCGGCUUAAGUGCCAUAACGAGCGCAACCCUUGUCGUUAGUUGCCAUCAGGUAAUGCUGGGAACUCUAGCGAGACUGCCACCGCAAGGUGUGAGGAAGGGGGGGAUGACGUCAAAUCAGCACGGCCCUUACGUCCGGGGCGACACACGUGUUACAAUGGUGGGUACAGAAGGAAGCUACCUGGCGACAGGAUGCAAAUCUUCAAAACCCAUCUCAGUUCGGAUUGGAGUCUGCAACUCGACUCCAUGAAGUUGGAUUCGCUAGUAAUCGCGCAUCAGCCAUGGCGCGGUGAAUACGUUCCCGGGCCUUGUACACACCGCCCGUCAAGCCAUGAAAGCCGAGGGUGCCUGAAGUUCGCGACCGCAAGGAACGACCUAGGGCAAAAUUGGUAAUUGGGGCU